AGGAGCAGAUUGAACAAGAGGCCAGAGAAAAACAGGCAGCCACCAAGUUGCUGAAGCAAAAGGACAAGAAGCUAAAGGAGGUCCUACUGCAGGUGGAGGAUGAGCGCAAGAUGGUGGAGCAGUACAAGGAGCAGGCAGAGAAAGGAAACACCAAGGUCAAGCAGCUCAAGAGGCAGCUGGAAGAGGCCGAGGAGGAAUCCCAGCGCAUCAAUGCCAACCGCAGGAAGCUGCAGCGGGAGCUGGAUGAGGCCACUGAGAGCAAUGAGGCCAUGGGCCGUGAGGUGAAUGCCCUCAAGAGCAAACUCAGAGGGCCCCCCCCACAAGAAACUUCGCAGUGAGCCACCAGGUACCUUGUGCCUCCAGCUUUACAGCUCGUGUGUCACACUGUCCCUUAUAUCUCUAUGCCCAGCACCCCUUUCCUUGUCCCCAUUCCUCUGUGCCAAGCACCCCUUCCUUGUCCCCAUUCCUCUGUGCCCAGCACCCCUUCCUUGUCCCUAUUUCUGUGCCCAGCACCCCUUCUUUGUCCCCAUUCCUGUGCCCAGCACCCCUUCCUUGUGUCUUCCCUUUUCCAAGUCCUUGCAAAUUUCUGUGAGACCUCCCAAAUCUAAAGGCUUGGCUUAGAUCAGAGCUGAGAAUGUAAGCAGACCUCAUCUCUUGAGUCAUUGUCCUUCCUUCUGGCAUUUUGUCAAACAUGGCUUCUAGUAAAACACUUUGAUCCAC
rnacentral:lncRNA from 1 species